CUGGCUCCAAGGAGAUUUCACAGCAAUGCCUCCAGACUUCAUAACACGGACAUCUGGGAUAUUUAUCUGCUCCCUUAAUGGCCCAGGCCCCUCUCUGUAACAGAAGAAGACUAUGGGAUGGCAUUUUGGAGAAUGGUCUCUAGGAUACAUGGAUCCUGGAUAUUGCAACUUAACUAUAGAUUUAUGGCCCCCAGCUUACCAAGAGUUUGUACCAUUGCCUAAGCCUACAGCACUGUGGGGAAACUGGAAAACCAUUGACUCAAUCACAGACAAAUAGGCCAACUCCAUUCUGGCCUUACAGACCUACAGAUAUCACCAGAUUCCUUCUACCGCCUCCAACCCCUAAUCGAUGUCUCCAUUCAGCAGGAAGAAGCUACAGAAGAAGGGACCUUUGUCCCUCUUUCCUGUUAAAAUCAGGGAGGAAUCUUAGGUGGGAACUAAAGGGAAGGUCUAAAAAAUAAGUCGCCAUGAUUCAUUGACCCACCCAGACCCAGACUUGCAGUCUCCAUGUUAUUGCACCUCUGCAGGUGAAAACCACCAAGCCUAUGAAGUGGUUGAUUUUCCAAGGACAAAGACAGCCCCAAGG
rnacentral:lncRNA from 1 species